rnacentral:lncRNA from 1 species
GGAAAAGAGGGGAGAGACUGUGAGGAACGAAUGUGAUGCCAGCUGGCUUCCUAAUUUUGGUAGAGUCUGGCAAUCUGGCAGCAGAAGAGAAUCCAGAAAAGAAUUUGAAAAGGAGAAACAAGAGUUGUCAAAUGUUGAAGCUCAACCUGAGAUGCCAAUCAAGAUACAACCUUAUGUUAGCAAAAGAAUGGUGCGUUUUACAUUCUAAAUAUUAUGGGUUUGAUUUGUUUCAAAACUGUCUGUCAAAACCAGUCUGCUUUGUGCCUGACCGAGCCCAAGCUUGGCAUGUUUGGUAUAUGGGUUGCAAAAUGGGCAGAGUCAGGGGCGGUUGGUUUCAUAUCAAUGGGGUAGCAUUUGCUACCCCAAAAGAAAAAAAAAAUCUUGAAUAAUGUAGUAUAGUUUUGUAUGUAGCUACCCCAUUGAUAUAUUAUUUGGCUACUCCAAACAAUUUUUGUUGGUUUAAAGAAGGAUGAUAUCAAUAAAAUAUAGAUAAUCUAUUUAGUUUAGUAUCAAUUAUAGAUAAAUUUGACUUAAAACUUCAUAGAGCACAACUUUUAUAAAUAAUUAUUGUUAGAUUUUAUUUUCUUUACUGUCGUUUCAUUAAAUAUAAGUAAAAUUUAUCGUUAUUGAUUAAGUUCAAUAUAUUAGUUUUUAAAAUAUAUAUAUAUUUUUUGUAUUUGGCCUCCUCGUAAAUAUUGUGCUAGCUUCGCCGUUUUGCAGAGUACUUCAGACUGAUCAUACCACCAUGUCUAGAAUGGUGGUAUCAAUUGUAUACAGAUAAAACAAAUGCAUUUAAUUGGGCAGAUGCGGGUAGAUGAACUUCAGACUGAUCAUACCACCAUGCCCGACCCAACCCGCAAAAAACCGGAGGAAACAACCCGAUAUGUGCGGGUUAUAGCGGGUUAACGGGUCUACGGGUUAUAAACACGGGUAUUUAAGAGUUUAAUUGGGCAGAUGCGGGUAGAUGAACUUCAACCGCGGGUACCCGAACCCGCCCGCGAAUACAAAUAAUUUAUGGGAAUUGAUGAUAAUCAAAUGCAUUUAGGGAGUAAUAACUACUUUCAUUUGCGGUGCAAGUUUUUUAGCAAUAUAAUAACACCUUUGGUUGACCAAUUCAAUACUAUUUUAUAUCACAUUUAUUUUUAUUUACUACUAGGAUUUUACUUUGUAGUUAUUUCCUUUUAUGUUUUCCAUUGAAACGUUACAGCAAAACAUCAUCUCUCUCACGGCUUCUUCACCACCACCAUGCUCCAUCAGUAUCAAUUACUUUUCUUCAAACAUUAACACCAUGUUCUGUUAGUCUCCCUUAUUUUUCUUUUCACUACGUCCCUCCUCUUUUCUCUUCUGCAUCUUCUUUUACUUCUCAAAUCUCAGUUUUUAUUUCAAUUUUCAUUUUCUUCUUGAUGUUUUGUUGGUUGAUGAAUGAUGUAGAUCUGAGGUGAGGCUACUGUUUUUUCAAAUUUCUAUUAUGAAUCUUCUCAACCCGCGUGAAUCCACCCGUAAACCCGCAACCCGAAAGACCCGAACCCGUGCAAACCGAAGAAGAAAAGCUAGCUUAAAUGGGUCUGUACACACAAACCGCGGGUUGAGCUGGGUCGAGCUUUCAGACCCGAACCCGCCCGUUGUCCACCCCUAGACUAGGUGGUACCCCAACCAUUAAACAAUUCAAAAAUGAUGAGUAACCCAGUAAUAGCGACUCAAAAGUUUAUUUGAGAUAAUCUGAUCGAAAAAGCACAAAACUCAGGAGCUGUGUGCUGCUUCGCCCUUGCAUUGCAUCAGAUACAAAUUGGAGUCACAGUGAACUCUCCUGGCCGGAAAACACACCAGAGUUGUCCGUGUAUCAGAAACUGUGAGGAAUUCCUUCUAAAUUUCCUUUUUUUUUUUAAUAAAUUAGAAUUUUCCUUCCCUUCUCCUGUAGCAUGCGAUUCCACCGCGAUGGUCACCCCUCAAAAGGCAACGCACUAAUGAUUGAAUUGCGUCGCAGAAAGAAAGAGAGGGGAGGGGCUUACGAUUGAAAAAGGUGCCUGGGAGAAUCUGAUUCCUAUUCAAAUCAUUGUUGUUUAAUGAAUAGUUGAAUACGUUUGCUCAAUUUCUGAUACUACCCUUAUUCACACACUUAUUGUUUCUUCAACUUUUCUUAUGAAACCAAUGUACUGGGUUACUCAUCAUUUUUGAAUUGUUUAAUGGUUGGGGUACCACAUACAAUAGAAAAGAUGACCUGUAUGUUCUGCAGUAAGGAGAGUAUAUGAGAUGGAGGAUAUUUAGAUCACUAGAGACAAAGACCUAGAAAAACUAUAUAAUAUGGUUUAUGAUAGAACAUUAUGGCAUGAUUUGAUCCAUGUAGCCGUCCCCACUUAGUGGGAUAAAGCUUGGUUGUUGUUGUUAUUUUCUUAUUUAUUUUUUGAAUGGUGUUCUUGUUGUUAUUGAUUGCUGUUGUCGCACCAUAUGAAAAAAUAAAAAAAGUUAUAGUCCAUUCGAGUUUUAAUUAGAAAAAACUCAAAAUUAAACCCAUAGUAAAUAAGUAAGGUGCUGAAGCUUGCAAUAAUUGCAUCUAUAGUUCAAUAUUUAUCUGUUUUUCUAAUUUUGUAACUGGCUGUUGGAGUUAUCAGCUUUUAGGCUUUACGAGCACUUCCCAUGGCUAAUGUUGGGCUGGUUGAGUAGUGCGGCCUUGCCCAAUAUAGACUCUGCCAUUUGGGACUUUAUUGUCAUUGUUACUUUACCAUUCAAACCAUUGAAAUGACAUUCUUGUCUACAUGAGAAAGUGUGAAUGAUAAGUUAAAUUCACCAUGGUGUUUUCGUUCGUAGGGACAGCCGAAAGAGAAUCCAUUUAUAAUGAGGGAGCAAUCUGAGAACAAGAGCAAGAGUGCCAAGCCUAAAACAGGCACAAAGGAGAAGAAGAAAAGUGAGUUUGAGUUCUGCAAGGUUUGCAAAAUAAAUCAUGACCAAGGUCUUCGCCACAAGUAUUUCCCUAAGCACAAACAAUCCCUUUCCACCUUCCUCUCUCGCUUCAAAAACAAACUCUCCGAUGUUCGCUUCUUCCUCAAAACACCUUCUCCUCUUACUCCUCAACUUGCUUCCGGCAAUCGCUUCUGGUGUGUUUUCUGUGACCAAGAUAUCGAUGAGCACUCCAGUUCUUUUGCCUGGUAUCAAUUUUUUGUUUUCAAUUUAUGAACUAUUGUCCAGGUUUUCUUUAGCUAAAUUGUAAUGAACGUUCUCUUGUUCUCGAGGCAGUGAAAAUGCGAUUCGUCACCUAGCAAGUGUAGAACAUGUGAAUAAUUUGAAGCACUUCUUUUGGAAAUAUGGUGGCACAGUGGAUCAGCUGGAUGUGUUUACAGUUUCUCAUAAUGACGUUGCAAAGGUGCCAUAUAAAAUCUUAUGUCUGUUUUUUAGGGGAUUUUUUUUUUUUUUUUUAUAUAUAAAAUAACUCAUUAUAUAGAAUGCAUUUGCUCAUUAAGUUACAAAAAAGCAUUUGCUCAUCAUUUGUCAUUUCUUUGCUAGUGCAGUGGGACAAGAGGUGCGCAAACCUUAAAAAAGAAGCUUCAUUGCAAAGUGAGGAAAGUCCUGGAGCAGUUUUUGGACCUUCAAGUGAUAUCCAUAAUCAAUCGAACAAUGAAAAUAUUGAUAGUUUUAAAAAUAAUAUUUAUUCCAAUUCUGUGAACUCGAAUGUUGUUUUGCCUUUACACUGCUACACAAAUGAGUAUCAGGUAUCCUCUUCAGGUCACUCUGGAGUUGGAAAUACCGGCCUUUUAGAUAUUGGUAAAUCUUCUUUACCUUCGGAAGCAUGCUCCAGUGCGAAUACCCUUGCUUUGCAGGAUUUUGCAGGUAUGCUUACCCUGUCUAUUGGAAAUGUCAUUCCUUAUUCUUUACAAUUAUCGGUCACUUGCGGGAUUUGUUAAAAAGUUGAGACUUAUCUUCCGUGUGCUUAUGCUUUGUGUCUCAGCUGAACGGAGAAGUCACAAACUCCCUUAUAAUAGUGGACAAUGGUCAAGUGAUGGAUACUCAUGUAAUAAAGCGGUAAGUCUAUGUGUUGGGGGGAAGAGGGGAGGGUUUCUUAGGCUUUGACUCUUCUGCUUGAGAAUCUAACUAUUGAGUUUCAGACUUUCAGCAAUUGUUGGUUGAUGAUUUCAUUGGUUUGUAAGAUCAAUGUAUCUAAAGUUUUUCCUAAAGUUAUCUAAAAUUUUCUUGUCUUCAUGAUCAAGGAUUAUAGUUUGCUUCUCGCAAUGCAUGCUUGUAUAUUUUAUAAUCUCUAAUUUCUAUUUUCACAUUAUUCUGAUUGUUGCUCCCCUCUUGCUCUGUAGCUUUCUAAUGUCUAAUUUAAACACUGAUAAAGGCAUUGCAUUUCUUAUGAAUAUAGCAGGUUCUUGAUAAUGGUAAAGUGGUCAGCGGAGAGAGUGGUCCGCAAGGUGUUCAUCUAUCUAUAACUAUAUAUUUUUCUUAAGUUCUUAUAAUUCUAUAAAGUUGGGGAGCAUGUGCCAAUUGAAUAUGUAAUUUUUCAUAGCACUAUUGCAUUUGCACCUAUGUGCAAAAUAUUUGAAGACUUGAAUGCAGAAAAAAAAGUUCUCUGUGGCAUUAUGACUUGCUCUUAGAUAGAUAACAUUGAGGAGGCUGUGAAUGUGAUGGUAAACUAGUGUGCAUGAUGCAUUGUCUACUAAUGACUCUGCAUUUUCAGGUAUACAAAUGCUCACUCGGAUUUCUUUUGUGCCUGCUGAAAAUGGUGGUGGAAAUGUUCAUUCUGGAGCACCUCCGCCUUGGUUUGAAACAACUGAGGGAGUUCAGAUGCAUCCGAAGCCUGUUUUAGGAGACCUUGUCUCCCAUUCAAACAAGUCAGGGAAGCACAAAAAGUUGAAUCCUAAACGCGUUGGAGCUGCUUGGGCAGAAAAGAGAAAGAUUGAAAUGGAGAUGGAAAAGAGGGGAGAGACUGUGAGGAACGAAUGUGAUGCCAGCUGGCUUCCUAAUUUUGGUAGAGUCUGGCAAUCUGGCAGCAGAAGAGAAUCCAGAAAAGAAUUUGAAAAGGAGAAACAAGAGUUGUCAAAUGUUGAAGCUCAACCUGAGAUGCCAAUCAAGAUACAACCUUAUGUUAGCAAAAGAAUGGUGCGUUUUACAUUCUAAAUAUUAUGGGUUUGAUUUGUUUCAAAACUGUCUGUCAAAACCAGUCUGCUUUGUGCCUGACCGAGCCCAAGCUUGGCAUGUUUG